AUUGAACGCUGGCGGUAGGCCUAACACAUGCAAGUCGAACGCGAAAGUCCUUCGGGAUGAGUAGAGUGGCGGACGGGUGAGUAACGCGUAGGAAUCUAUCCUGUAGUGGGGGAUAACGUUUCGAAAGGAACGCUAAUACCGCAUACGCCCCACGGGGGAAAGCGGGGGAUCUUCGGACCUCGUGCUAUAGGAGGAGCCUGCGUCGGAUUAGCUAGUUGGCGAGGUAAAGGCUCACCAAGGCGACGAUCCGUAGCUGGUCUGAGAGGAUGAUCAGCCACACCGGAACUGAGACACGGUCCGGACUCCUACGGGAGGCAGCAGUGGGGAAUAUUGCGCAAUGGGCGAAAGCCUGACGCAGCCAUACCGCGUGUGUGAAGAAGGCCUUCGGGUU
rnacentral:rRNA from 1 species